AUGCCCAUGUUUCUAAGUACCACCUUCUUGUCAUACAUCACUGUCCCGACCGAAAUGGUAUCCUGGGGAAGAUGUCGGCAUGAUUCAGGAAAGGGGGAGCUCAGAGUGUCACAGGAAGGAGAAGCACAGCAUUUCUUUUCCUCUGGAUCUCUGCUUCAAGAGGCUACUGUCUCAGUUCCAGCUCCCACUGUUAAUUCCUGGACCAACUUGUGA
rnacentral:lncRNA from 1 species